rnacentral:rRNA from 1 species
GUGGGGGAUAUUGCACAAUGGGCGCAAGCCUGAUGCAGCCAUGCCGCGUGUAUGAAGAAGGGCUUUCGGGUGUUAAAGUACUUUCAGCGGGGGAGGAAGGUGUUGUGGUUAUACCCCAGCAAUUGACGUUACCCGCAGAAGAAGCACGGUAACUCGUGCCAGCAGCCGACGAGGGUGCAAGCGUUAAUCGGAAUUACUGGGCGUAAAGCGCACGCAGGCGGUCUGUCAAGUCGGAUGUGAAAUCCCCGGGCUCAACCUGGGAACUGCAUUCGAAACUGGCAGGCUAGAGUCUUGUAGAGGGGGGUAGAAUUCCAGGUGUAGCGGUGAAAUGCGUAGAGAUCUGGAGGAAUACCGGUGGCGAAGGCGGCCCCCUGGAUCUGACGCUCAGGUGCGAAAGCGUGGGGAGCAAACAGGAUUAGAUACCCUGGUAGUCCACGCCGUAAACGAUGUCGAUUUGGAGGUUGUGCCCUUGAGGCGUGGCUUCCGGAGCUAACGCGUUAAAUCGACCGCCUGGGGAGUACGGCCGCAAGGUUAAAACUCAAAUGAAUUGACGGGGGCCCGCACAAGCGGUGGAGCAUGUGGUUUAAACAACGCGAAGAACCUUACCUGGUCUUGACAUCCACAGAACUUUCCAGAGAUGGAUUGGUGCCUUCGGGAACUGUGAGACAGGUGCUGCAUGGCUGUCGUCAGCUCGUGUUGUGAAAUGUUGGGUUAAGUCCCGCAACGAGCGCAACCCUUAUCCUUUGUUGCCAGCGGUCCGGCCGGGAACUCAAAGGAGACUGCCAGUGAUAAACUGGAGGAAGGUGGGGAUGACGUCAAGUCAUCAUGGCCCUUACGACCAGGGCUACACACGUGCUACAAUGGCGCAUACAAAGAGAAGCGACCUCGCGAGAGCAAGCGGACCUCAUAAAGUGCGUCGUAGUCCGGAUUGGAGUCUGCAACUCGACUCCAUGAAGUCGGAAUCGCUAGUAAUCGUAGAUCAGAAUGCUACGGUGAAUACGUUCCCGGGCCUUGUACACACCGCCCGUCACACCAUGGGAGUGGGUUGCAAAAGAAGUAGGUAGCUUAACCUUCGGGA